rnacentral:rRNA from 1 species
GACGAACGCUGGCGGCGUGCUUAACACAUGCAAGUCGAACGGAAAGGCCCUGCUUUUGUGGGGUGCUCGAGUGGCGAACGGGUGAGUAACACGUGAGUAACCUGCCCUUGACUUUGGGAUAACUUCAGGAAACUGGGGCUAAUACCGGAUAGGAGCUCCUGCUGCAUGGUGGGGGUUGGAAAGUUUCGGCGGUUGGGGAUGGUCUGGCGGCUUAUCAGCUUGUUGGUGGGGUAGUGGCUUACCAAGGGUUUGACGGGUAGCCCGCCUGAGAGGGGGACCAGGCAACAGGGGACUGAGGGAGGGACCAGUAGGGAACCGGCAGCAAUGGGGGGGAAUAUUGCGGAGUGGGGCGGAGUCAGUGAAGAAGAUCUCCGGAGCGGGAAGCUCGGCUUUGGGGUGAGAACCAAUGUGGACGUAACUGAAGCCGGAGUGACGGUAAUUGGUAAAGAAGCACCGGCUAACUACGUG